ACUCCUACGGGAGGCAGCAGUGGGGAAUAUUGCACAAUGGGGGAAACCCUGAUGCAGCCAUGCCGCGUGUGUGAAGAAGGCCUUCGGGUUGUAAAGCACUUUCAGUAGGGAGGAAGGUAGUGCAGUUAACACCUGCAUUAUUUGACGUUACCUACAGAAGAAGCACCGGCUAACUCCGUGCCAGCAGCCGCGGUAAUACGGAGGGUGCGAGCGUUAAUCGGAAUUACUGGGCGUAAAGCGCAUGCAGGCGGCCUGUUAAGUCAGAUGUGAAAGCCCGGGGCUUAACCUCGGAAUUGCAUUUGAAACUGGCAGGCUAGAGUCUUGUAGAGGGGGGUAGAAUUUCAGGUGUAGCGGUGAAAUGCGUAGAGAUCUGAAGGAAUACCAGUGGCGAAGGCGGCCCCCUGGACAAAGACUGACGCUCAGAUGCGAAAGCGUGGGGAGCAAACAGGAUUAGAUACCCUGGUAGCACAGAG
rnacentral:rRNA from 1 species